rnacentral:rRNA from 1 species
ACGUAGGAGGCGAGCGUUAUCCGGAUUUACUGGGCGUAAAGCGCACGCGGGCGGCUUCGUGAGUCGGACGUGAAAGCUCCUGGCUUAACUGGGAGAGGUCGUUCGAUACUGCGGGGCUUGAGGUAGGGAGAGGGGUGUGGAAUUCCCGGUGUAGUGGUGGAAUGCGUAGAGAUCGGGAGGAACCCCGGUGGCGAAGGCGACUUGCUGGGCCUGAACUGACGCUCAGACGCGAAAGCAUGGGGAGCGAACGG